rnacentral:lncRNA from 10 species
AGAGUCCUAGCUAACCGCCCUGUAUAUACCAUGGGCUCAUCAUCUUCCCUGGUUCCAGCUCAGAACAGAGACUCAGAGGAACAAGGGCUCUGCGCUCACCCUGCCUGGUUAGGUCCAGCCUUUCCAAUUCCAAGCUGUGUGACCAUGGGAAAAGUGUUUGCCCACUCUGGGCCUAAAUUUCCUCCUUGGUAAAAGGCACACAAGAGCAGUACUCUGCACGCCACAGUGGUGGGGUGAGCAGCAGAUGACGUGGUGGGUGGAGGCCAGGUGACACCAGGCUGCUCUCAAGCUUAACUUGCCUGUGAUGGUGGCGGGACCGUGUCAGUUCUUCCACCAAAUCCCACCUGUUUCCACGACGUUUAUUGACAAGUCAGGGGCACCGCCCCGGGUGGAGGGGGUGUGAAGAGGAAGUCAGCUCCCUGGUCCCUGCUGCCCUCUGGUGACCACAUCAGCAUCAGCACCUGCUCCAUCCCAGCAGCUCCAGGUCCAGGCCGUGCCCAGAAAACUUGGCCUGGGAGAUUCCCCACCCGCCCUGCCCCGAUCCCACCUCUCUUCCAUCUCUGCAUUUUCCAGAAAUUCCCCCAGCACCAGACAAAAGAGCCUAAUGUCCAUUAGAUAUGCUGUGUGGCGCCAGGCCAGCGUGUAACCUCUCUGUGCUUGAUUCGUUAUCUGUAAAAUGGGAAUCAUUAUAAUAUCUGCCUCAUGUAGCUAUUGUGAGAAUUAAAUAUGUUAGUACCUGUGAGGUCCUUAGAACUAUGCCUGCGGCUGGGCACAGUGGCUCACGCCUGUAAUCCCAGCACUAUGGGAGGCCAAGGUGGGCAGAUUGCCUGAGGUAGGCGUUUGAGACCAGCCUGGCCAACAUGGUGAAACCCUGUCUCUAUUAAAAAUACAAAAAUCAGCCAGACAUGGUGGCGGGUGCCUGUAAUCCCAGCUACUCGGGAGGAUGAGGCAGGAGAAUUGCCUGAACCCAGGAGGCAGAGGUUGCAGCAAGCGGAGAUUGUGCCACUGCACUCCAGCCUGGGCAACAAGUGGGACUCUGUCUCAAAAAAAAAGAACUAUGCCUGCAAAUAGUUAAUGCCUUAAAAGUAUUUGCUAACAUUCUUCUUCUUCUUCUUUUUUUUUUUUUUUUGAGACAGGGUCUUUCUCUGUCACCCAGGCUGGAGCGCAGUGGCCCAAUCCCGGCUCACUGCAGCCUUGAACACCUGGGCUCAUGUGAUUCUCCCACUUCAGCCUCUCAAGUAGCUGUGACCACAGGUGCACACACCACUAAGCCUGGCUAAUUUGUUUUUUAAUUUUUUGUAGAGACAGGGAAUCACUAUGUUGCCUAGGCUAGUCCCAGACUCCUAGGGUUCAAGCAAUCCAUCCACCUCGGCCUCCCAAAGUGCUAGGAUUACAGAUGUGAGCCACCAUGCCUAGUCUGCUAACAUUAUCCUUAAUAUUACACUGAAUAUGUCUGUGGAUUUUGUGGGAGGUGAGGGUAUAAAACAUAAUUAGAGGAAAUAAUGACAUUCUAAAUUUAAUUUGACUUUAUUACAAAAAGGGCAGAAUGGAGCAACAGUAAUCCAGGACAAAAAAUUGUCCCAAUCCCAUCAUUCAACCCACUUGUGUUUGUAUCUGUUUGUGCCACUUCUGUGUGUUGUUUACAUGCAGAGUCAGUGUUUGCGUAUUUGCGGUUUUAUAUCAUUCAUUUCUCAUCAUACAUACAUAUAUUUAUAUUCCUGACAUUUUUCUAGGGAAUAUCUUUAUAUUCCUGACAUUUUUCUCUUUUUCCCUUAUGUUCUUCCAUACCGGGACUUAUAGGACCUUGCCCAGACUCAACUUCCCUCUUCCCCAUGGACCCAAGUUGCUGAGCUUCCAACAGGUGUUUACAGCAAAGGAGAAUGAGACAGAGAGAAGCAGAGAUGCAGAGAGAAAGACAGACAGAGAAGACUAAACUGAUUGAUCCCAACUCCAUUAUGAUAUCUGACUCCAACCACAGAAUGACCCUGAUCCAGCCACAGACUGACUUCUGAUCCUGGCCACAGUCCACCUCCUGUCCUCAGCCACAGAACAGCUCUGACUCAAGCCAGGAACUGAGUCCCGACCCAUGUUACUGACUUACUCAUGAUCCUGGUUGCAGGCUGGCCCCAGCCACAUGCUGACCCCUGACCCUCACCACAGAUGGAUCUUUGAUCCCAGCUAUAGGCUGAUCUCUGAUUCUGGCUGCCCUGAACCACCACUCCUAUAUACUGAUGACCCACCUUAGCGUGAUCCCACCCAGGAACUGGCAUUUCCUGGGACAGGCUCUUGGCCACCUGCUGCUCUGCCCUGGGCACACCAGGCCCUACGCAUCCUCCCCCUUCCACCACCAUCCAUGAUUUCCUGAUUUCUAGCAGCAAAUUUAGCUUGAGUUGGUCAACAUAGCUGGGCUGCCUGACCUUCCUCUCUGCCAUGGAACCACAGAGCAAGUCAGCAGUUCUCCUUCCUAAUCAAAAAGCAGCAUGGAGGAGAAGGCUCCUUUGCCACCUUCCUUUCUGCUUUGGAUGGUGCUUUUGCAAUCAUGAGGAGACAAGCCUGGAGAUGAAAGGAGGCAUUCUGAAUAUGGUGGAGUGGAAGAAGAAGAAGGCCUGCCUGGGGCUUUGAUUACAUCACCAAGUGAUCAAACCAAC